GACGAACGCUGGCGGCGUGCUUAACACAUGCAAGUCGAACGGUAAGGCUCCAGCUUGCUGGGGUACACGAGUGGCGAACGGGUGAGUAACACGUGGGUGACCUGCCCUGCACUUCGGGAUAAGCCUGGGAAACUGGGUCUAAUACCGGAUAGGACCGCACCGUGAGGGGGAGGCGGAAAGUUUUUUCGGUGUGGGAUGGGCCCGGGGCCUAUGAGCUUGUUGGUGGGGUAAUGGCCUACGAAGGCGGCGGCGGGUGGCCGGCCGGGGAGGGUGGACGGCCACCUUGGGCCUGCGACACGGCCCAGACUCCUACGGGAGGCAGCAGUGGGGAGUAUUGCCCAGUGGGCGGACGCCUGAUGCAGCGGCGCCGCGUGGGGGAUGACGGCCUUCGGGUUGUAAACUCCUUUCGCCAUCGACGAAGGGUUUCUGACGGUAGCUGGAGAAGAAGCACCGGCUAACUACGUG
rnacentral:rRNA from 1 species